GGCUGGAGCAGGUGUCGCUCCCGGGGCUCUCACCCACGUCAGGGGCCAGGAUAGGCUCGGAGGGUUUGUCAGGCCAGCCCCUUUACCCUCCCAGCUGCUUCCUCCGUUGUGAGCGGCACUUCCGCCUGACUCUCAGCCUCUCUGGUUAUUAAUAGCUUCAGAGCACAGAGGCUGGUUAAGUUACAGACCCGCGAGCACCAUGGGUAACUACCAGAUAAGCCCUGAAGUCCCCAUCAACGCCCUCACUACCACCUUGAUGAGCUCUUCUCCCGAGCGGCCAGAGCAGCCCCCGCUGGUGUCAGGAAAAGCCCCAGUGGGCUGCUUUUGGAGUCCAUAUGGGGGAGCCGGGAAGGGCAAGCACAGAUCUCUUUUCCAAGGACGCACCUAGCCCAGCACCCUCGGGCGAGGCAAACAGAACCCCUCCUGCAGCUUGGAUUAAUUCUGGAUUUUACCACCUGGCGUGGAGCAAAUAAAAGCAAUGAGGCAAAACAAAA